rnacentral:rRNA from 1 species
GAUGAACGCUGGCGGCGUGCCUAAUACAUGCAAGUAGAACGCUGAAGGAGGAGCUUGCUCUUUCCGGAUGAGUUGCGAACGGGUGAGUAACGCGUAGGUAACCUGCCUGGUAGCGGGGGAUAACUAUUGGAAACGAUAGCUAAUACCGCAUAACAGUAGAUAUUGCAUGAUAUCUGCUUGAAAGGGGCAAUUGCUCCACUACCAGAUGGACCUGCGUUGUAUUAGCUAGUUGGUGAGGUAACGGCUCACCAAGGCGACGAUACAUAGCCGACCUGAGAGGGUGAUCGGCCACACUGGGACUGAGACACGGCCCAGACUCCUACGGGAGGCAGCAGUAGGGAAUCUUCGGCAAUGGACGGAAGUCUGACCGAGCAACGCCGCGUGAGUGAAGAAGGUUUUCGGAUCGUAAAGCUCUGUUGUAAGAGAAGAACGAGUGUGAGAGUGGAAAGUUCACACUGUGACGGUAUCUUACCAGAAAGGGACGGCU